rnacentral:rRNA from 1 species
UGGGGAAUAUUGGACAAUGGGCGAAAGCCUGAUCCAGCAAUGCCGCGUGAGUGAUGAAGGCCUUAGGGUUGUAAAGCUCUUUUUACCAGGGAUGAUAAUGACAGUACCUGGAGAAUAAGCUCCGGCUAACUCCGUGCCAGCAGUCGCGGUAAUACGGAGGGAGCUAGCGUUGUUCGGAAUUACUGGGCGUAAAGCGUACGUAGGCGGUGACUCAAGUCAGAGGUGAAAGCCUGGAGCUCAACUCCAGAACUGCCUUUGAAACUAGGUCGCUAGAAUCACGGAGAGGUGAGUGGAAUUCCGAGUGUAGAGGUGAAAUUCGUAGAUAUUAGGAAGAACACCGGUGGCGAAGGCGGCUCACUGGCUCGAUACUGACACUGAGGUGCGAAAGCGUGGGGAGCAAACGGGAUUAGAUACCCCUGUAGUCCCUGAGCGGGCUGGCAAGGCG